CCUACGGGUGGCAGCAGUGGGGAAUAUUGGACAAUGGGGGCAACCCUUAUCCAGCCAUGCCGCGUGUGUGAAGAAGGCCCUCGGGUUGUAAAGCACUUUCAGUGAGGAAGAACGCCUGGUGGUUAAUACCCAUCAGGAAAGACAUCACUCACAGAAGAAGCACCGGCUAACUCCGUGCCAGCAGCCGCGGUAAUACGGAGGGUGCGAGCGUUAAUCGGAAUUACUGGGCGUAAAGCGCGCGUAGGUGGCUUGAUAAGCCGGUUGUGAAAGCCCCGGGCUCAACCUGGGAACGGCAUCCGGAACUGUCAAGCUAGAGUGCAGGAGAGGAAGGUAGAAUUCCCGGUGUAGCGGUGAAAUGCGUAGAGAUCGGGAGGAAUACCAGUGGCGAAGGCGGCCUUCUGGACUGACACUGACACUGAGGUGCGAAAGCGUGGGUAGCAAACAGGAUUAGAUACCCGGGUAGUC
rnacentral:rRNA from 1 species